rnacentral:tRNA from 2 species
GCCGGAGUGGUGGAAUUGGCAGACACGCGGGAUUCAAAAUCCCGUGGGAUUAAUUUCCCGUGUGGGUUCGAGUCCCACCUCCGGUA